UUUAUGGAGAGUUUGAUCCUGGCUCAGGAUGAACGCUGGCGGCGUGCCUAAUACAUGCAAGUCGAGCGAACGGACGAGAAGCUUGCUUCUCUGAUGUUAGCGGCGGACGGGUGAGUAACACGUGGAUAACCUACCUAUAAGACUGGGAUAACUUCGGGAAACCGGAGCUAAUACCGGAUAAUAUUUUGAACCGCAUGGUUCAAAAGUGAAAGACGGUCUUGCUGUCACUUAUAGAUGGAUCCGCGCUGCAUUAGCUAGUUGGUAAGGUAACGGCUUACCAAGGCAACGAUGCAUAGCCGACCUGAGAGGGUGAUCGGCCACACUGGAACUGAGACACGGUCCAGACUCCUACGGGAGGCAGCAGUAGGGAAUCUUCCGCAAUGGGCGAAAGCCUGACGGAGCAACGCCGCGUGAGUGAUGAAGGUCUUCGGAUCGUAAAACUCUGUUAUUAGGGAAGAAUAUAUGUGUAAGUAACUGUGCACAUCUUGACGGUACCUAAUCAGAAAGCCACGGCUAACUACGUGCCAGCAGCCGCGGUAAUACGUAGGUGGCAAGCGUUAUCCGGAAUUAUUGGGCGUAAAGCGCGCGUAGGCGGUUUUUUAAGUCUGAUGUGAAAGCCCACGGCUCAACCGUGGAGGGUCAUUGGAAACUGGAAAACUUGAGUGCAGAAGAGGAAAGUGGAAUUCCAUGUGUAGCGGUGAAAUGCGCAGAGAUAUGGAGGAACACCAGUGGCGAAGGCGACUUUCUGGUCUGUAACUGACGCUGAUGUGCGAAAGCGUGGGGAUCAAACAGGAUUAGAUACCCUGGUAGUCCACGCCGUAAACGAUGAGUGCUAAGUGUUAGGGGGUUUCCGCCCCUUAGUGCUGCAGCUAACGCAUUAAGCACUCCGCCUGGGGAGUACGACCGCAAGGUUGAAACUCAAAGGAAUUGACGGGGACCCGCACAAGCGGUGGAGCAUGUGGUUUAAUUCGAAGCAACGCGAAGAACCUUACCAAAUCUUGACAUCCUUUGACAACUCUAGAGAUAGAGCCUUCCUCUUCGGGGGACAAAGUGACAGGUGGUGCAUGGUUGUCGUCAGCUCGUGUCGUGAGAUGUUGGGUUAAGUCCCGCAACGAGCGCAACCCUUAAGCUUAGUUGCCAUCAUUAAGUUGGGCACUCUAAGUUGACUGCCGGUGACAAACCGGAGGAAGGUGGGGAUGACGUCAAAUCAUCAUGCCCCUUAUGAUUUGGGCUACACACGUGCUACAAUGGACAAUACAAAGGGCAGCGAAACCACGAGGUCAAGCAAAUCCCAUAAAGUUGUUCUCAGUUCGGAUUGUAGUCUGCAACUCGACUACAUGAAGCUGGAAUCGCUAGUAAUCGUAGAUCAGCAUGCUACGGUGAAUACGUUCCCGGGUCUUGUACACACCGCCCGUCACACCACGAGAGUUUGUAACACCCGAAGCCGGUGGAGUAACCUUUUAGGAGCUAGCCGUCGAAGGUGGGACAAAUGAUUGGGGUGAAGUCGUAACAAGGUAGCCGUAUCGGAAGGUGCGGCUGGAUCACCUCCUUUCU
rnacentral:rRNA from 1 species